ensembl:snoRNA
AGAUGAUGAGAUCACCUAAAAUAGCUGGAAUUACCGGCAGAUUGCUAGUGGUGAGCCUAUGGAUUUCUGAAG